AUUGAACGCUGGCGGCAGGCCUAACACAUGCAAGUCGAACGAGUGGCGGACGGGUGAGUAAUGUCUGGGAAACUGCCCGAUGGAGGGGGAUGACUACUGGAAACGGUAGCUAAUAACGAAUACCAUCGGAUGUGCCCAGAUGGGAUUCGCUAGUAGGUGUGGUAAAGGCUCACCUAGGAGACGACCCCUAGUGGGUCUGAGAGGAUGACCGGCCACACGGGAACUGAGACACGGUCCAGACUCCUACGGGAGGCAGCAGUGGGGAAUAUUGCACAAUGGGCGCAAGCCUGAUGCAGCCAUGCCGCGUGUAUGAAGAGGGCCUGCGGGUUGUAAAGUACUUUCAGCGGGGAGGCGUUACCCGCAGAAGAAGCACCGGCUAACUCCGUGCCAGCAGCCUCGGUAAUAC
rnacentral:rRNA from 1 species